rnacentral:tRNA from 1 species
GCGCGGAUGGCGAAGAGGCUAACGCACUUGCCUGCAGAGCAAGCAUUCGAGGGUUCGAAUCCCUCUCCGCGCU